CCUACGGGUGGCUGCAGUGAGGAAUAUUGGUCAAUGGGCGCGAGCCUGAACCAGCCAAGUCGCGUGAGGGAUGACGGCCCUACGGGUUGUAAACCUCUUUUGCCGGGGAGCAACGGGCGCCACGUGUGGCGCCACUGAGAGUACCCGGAGAAAAAGCAUCGGCUAACUCCGUGCCAGCAGCCGCGGUAAUACGGAGGAUGCGAGCGUUAUCCGGAUUUAUUGGGUUUAAAGGGUGCGCAGGCGGGAGAUCAAGUCAGCGGUAAAAUGUCGGGGCUCAACCCCGGCCGGCCGUUGAAACUGGUUUUCUAGAGUUGGAGAGAAGUAUGCGGAAUUCGUGGUGUAGCGGUGAAAUGCAUAGAUAUCACGAAGAACUCCGAUUGCGAAGGCAGCAUACCGGCUCCAUACUGACGCUGAGGCACGAAAGCGUGGGGAUCGAACAGGAUUAGAUACCCUUGUAGUC
rnacentral:rRNA from 1 species